GGAGGUCAGUAUAUCAUGGAGGGAGAAGAGGAGGCCAAGAGUACUACGCUGAUCUUCUCCAUGACAGAGGAGGUCGGGCGCUGGCUAAUGCCCUCAAGAUAUUCCAGGCCCACAACGUCAACCUGCUACACAUCGAUCUCGACCUUCAAGACGAGAAGCAAAGUACGAGUUUAUGGUAGAGUGUGACUCGACCUCGGGUGACCUGGAGCAGCCAUGGAAGAGAUGAGAGCCCAGCUGUUCCUACUUCCGGGUUUCAUCUCCAGGAACCAACCCGGAUAACAAGGACACAGUGCCCGGGUUCCCUCGAAGAUUGCCGAUCUGGCCCGGGCUUCGCCAAUCAGAUUCUCUCCUACGGAUCAAGCUGGAUGCUGACCACCCUGGCUUUACUGACCCAAUAUACCGCGAGAGGAGGAAGUUCUUCGCUGACAUUGCUUAUUUCUACAAAAACAAUCAAGAAAUUCCCAGAAUUGACUACACGGAGGAGGAGGUGGCCACCUGGGUAAUGUAUUUCGUAACUUAACGAAACUGUACAAGACUCACGCAUGUAAGGAACACAACAUGGUGUUCCCGCUGCUUAUAGAGAACUGUGGCUACCGGGAGGAUAAUAUUCCGCAGCUCCAAGACGUUUCGAACUUCCUCAAAGAUUGUACGGCUUCAACCUUGCGUCCCGUGGCAGGUCUUCUGUCAUCUAGGGACUUUCUGGCAGGCUUGGCAUUCAGAGUUUUCCACUCAACACAGUACAUCCGUCACCCUAGUAUGCCACUCUACACGCCGGAGCCUGACAUCUGUCAUGAACUAUUGGGUCAUGCGCCUCUCCUAGCUGAUCCUUCCUUUGCGCAGUUCUCGCAGGAGAUUGGUUUAGCCUCCCUGGGGGCGCCUGAUGAGUUUAUUGAAAAGUUAGCAACGUGUUACUGGUUCACGGUGGAGUAUGGAAUCUGUCGACAAGAUGGGAAGAACAAGGCUUAUGGAGCUGGCUUACUGUCGUCCUUCGGAGAGCUUGAGUACUGUCUCACUGACAAACCUGAGUUGAGGUGCUUCGACCCAGCCAAGACCUGUGUCCAGAAGUACCCCAUUACUGAGUACCAGCCUGUUUACUAUGUUGCUGAGAGCUUCGAGGACGCCAAACAGAAGCUUAUUCAAUUCGCAACAUCAAUCCCAAGACCAUUCUCAGUGCGCUACAACCCAUACACUCAAUCAGUUGAAAUACUCAACUCUAAGCCUCAGAUCGAAGCUCUAGUGAGGGAGAUCAAUUGUGACAUGCAAGUCCUCAUGGAUGCUCUACUUAAGCUCACUUAGACACGCUCAGCUCUCUAAGAGGUCAAAAUUAAGAAGCACUCAUGGACGCUCUAAGCUCACUUAAAGACGGUCAGCUCCUCAGAUCUAAGCUCCUCUAAGAGAUUACCUGUAAGGAGCAUUCAUGGAUGCUCUAAGCUCACUUAAAGACGUCAGCUCUACAGAUCAAAGCUCCUGUAAGAAGCAUUCAUGGAUGCUCUAAGCUCACUUAAACACGGUCAGCGCCUCAGAUCUAAGCUCCUGUAAGAGAUCACCUGUAAGAAGCACUCAUGGAUGCUCUAAGCUCACUUAAAGACGGUCAGCUCCUCAGAUCUAAGCUCCUCUAAGAGAUUACCUGUAAGGAGCAUUCAUGGAUGCUCUAAGCUCACUUAAAGACGGUCAGCUCUACAGAUCAAAGCUCCUGUAAGAAGCAUUCAUGGAUGCUCUAAGCUCACUUAAACACGGUCAGCGCCUCAGAUCUAAGCUCCUGUAAGAGAUCACCUUUAAGAAGCACUCAUGGACGCUCUAAGCUCACUUAAACACGGUCAUCUCCUCAGAUCAAAGCAAUUAUAGAAUCAACUGUCUUUGAUCUGCUAAUUGUAAAUAACUCAUUACCACUAACUUAGCCAAUAAGAUAAUUAACUCCAGCUCCUGGGCCCAUUUUAUGCCUCUAUAAUUUGUUGACUAUCAGCCAGAGAACAGGCAUUGGGGUGACUGUCACCCAAAGUAUAUGUAUAAGGUGACUAUCACCCACAUGUGACAUAUUUAGACCUCAAAUGAGGUCCUCUUCAGAAGACCUGCCAAGGAGGGCACUGACCGUCAACCGAUAUCAAAAAGUGCAGACAAGUCCUGGUUCCUCCCUCCAGCUGUGUUUUCACCGUAUUAAGAAAAGCUAAUCGCACUACUACCCUAGAAUAUGGCUGUUGGAGUUCAAUAUUACCCAUAUCUUUAAUAUUAUUAUAAAAUCAAUGUUAUGCUUACUAUUAAUAUUAUACAAUAUAUAUUAUUUUAUUGAUAAUAAAAUAUAAUAUACUUAA